rnacentral:rRNA from 1 species
UGGACCCGUAAUCCGGGUUGCGGACAGUGUCUGGUGGGUAGUUUGACUGGGGCGGUCUCCUCCUAAAGAGUAACGGAGGAGCACGAAGGUUGGCUAAUCCUGGUCGGACAUCAGGAGGUUAGUGCAAUGGCAUAAGCCAGCUUGACUGCGAGCGUGACGGCGCGAGCAGGUGCGAAAGCAGGUCAUAGUGAUCCGGUGGUUCUGAAUGGAAGGGCCAUCGCUCAACGGAUAAAAGGUACUCCGGGGAUAACAGGCUGAUACCGCCCAAGAGUUCAUAUCGACGGCGGUGUUUGGCACCUCGAUGUCGGCUCAUCACAUCCUGGGGCUGAAGUAGGUCCCAAGGGUAUGGCUGUUCGCCAUUUAAAGUGGUACGCGAGCUGGGUUUAGAACGUCGUGAGACAGUUCGGUCCCUAUCUGCCGUGGGCGCUGGAGAACUGAGGGGGGCUGCUCCUAGUACGAGAGGACCGGAGUGGACGCAUCACUGGUGUUCGGGUUGUCAUGCCAAUGGCACUGCCCGGUAGCUAAAUGCGGAAGAGAUAAGUGCUGAAAGCAUCUAAGCACGAAACUUGCCCCGAGAUGAGUUCUCCCUGAGACUUAG